rnacentral:rRNA from 1 species
AUUGAACGCUAGCGGGAUGCUUUACACAUGCAAGUCGAACGGCAGCGCGGACUUCGGUCUGGCGGCGAGUGGCGAACGGGUGAGUAAUGUAUCGGAACGUGCCCAGUAGCGGGGGAUAACUACGCGAAAGCGUAGCUAAUACCGCAUACGCCCUACGGGGGAAAGCAGGGGGUCGUAAGACCUUGCACUAUUGGAGCGGCCGAUAUCGGAUUAGCUAGUUGGUGAGGUAACGGCUCACCAAGGCGACGAUCCGUAGCUGGUUUGAGAGGACGACCAGCCACACUGGGACUGAGACACGGCCCAGACUCCUACGGGAGGCAGCAGUGGGGAAUUUUGGACAAUGGGGGCAACCCUGAUCCAGCCAUCCCGCGUGUGCGAUGAAGGCCUUCGGGUUGUAAAGCACUUUUGGCAGGAAAGAAACGUCGCGGGCUAAUACCCCGUGGAACUGACGGUACCUGCAGAAUAAGCACCGGCUAACUACGU